ensembl:snRNA U6 U6 spliceosomal RNA
GUGCUUGUAUUGGCAGCACAUGCACUAAAAUUGAACCAAUAUGGGGAAGAUUAGCAAGUGCAAGAGUGACAUGCAAACUCAUGAAGCAUUCCCUGUUUUU